rnacentral:rRNA from 1 species
UGCAGUCUGCAACUCGACUGCACGAAGCUGGAAUCGCUAGUAAUCGCGGAUCAGCACGCCGCGGUGAAUACGUUCCCGGGCCUUGUACACACCGCCCGUCACACCAUGAGAGUUGGGAAUACCCGAAGCCUGUGAGCUAACUUUUAGAGGCAGCAGUCGAAGGUAGAAUCAAUGAUUGGGGUGAAGUCGUAACAAGGUAGC